ensembl:misc_RNA 7SK 7SK RNA
GGAUGUGAGGGCUAUCUGGCUGUGACAUCUGUCACCCCAUUGGUUGUCAGGGUUGAUUCAGCUGAUCUGGCUGGUUUGGCGGGUGUCCCCUUCCUUCCUCACCACUCCAUGUGCAUCCCUCUAGAAGCUUUGUGGUGAGUCAAAGAGGAUGACCUUCCCCAACAGCAGAGGACUGUUCUUUGGUCAAGGGUAUACAAGUAGCUGUGCUGUGCUCCCCUGCUAGAACUUCUAAAUAAGCUGUCAAAUGGCUAACACACUCAGGAAAAGAUGCCCCACAUCACUAAUCACCAGAGUAAUGCAAAUCAAAGCUAC